AUACGUAGGGAGCGAGCGUUGUCCGGAAUUACUGGGUGUAAAGGGAGCGUAGGCGGGAGUGCAAGUCAGAUGUGAAAUACAUGGGCUCAACCCAUGGGCUGCAUUUGAAACUGCAUUUCUUGAGUGAAGUAGAGGUAAGCGGAAUUCCUGGUGUAGCGGUGAAAUGCGUAGAUAUCAGGAGGAACACCGGUGGCGAAGGCGGCUUACUGGGCUUUUACUGACGCUGAGGCUCGAAAGCGUGGGGAGCAAACAGGAUUAGAUACCCUGGUAGUCCACGCUGUAAACGGUGAUUACUAGGUGUGGGGGGACUGACCCCUUCCGUGCCGCAGUUAACACAAUAAGUAAUCCACCUGGGGAGUACGGCCGCAAGGUUGAAACUCAAAUGAAUUGACGGGG
rnacentral:rRNA from 1 species